rnacentral:rRNA from 1 species
GAUGAACGCUGGCGGCGUGCCUAAUACAUGCAAGUCGAGCGAACGGACGAGAAGCUUGCUUUUCUGAUGUUAGCGGCGGACGGGUGAGUAACACGUGGAUAACCUACCUAUAAGACUGGGAUAACUUCGGGAAACCGGAGCUAAUACCGGAUAAUAUUUUGAACCGUAUGGUUCAAAAGUGAAAGACGGUCUUGCUGUCACUUAUAGAUGGUUCCGCGCUGCAUUAGCUGGUUGGUAAGGUAACGGCUUACCAAGGCAACGAUGCAUAGCCGACGUGAGAGGGGGAUCGGCCACACUGGAACUGAGACGCGGUCCAGACGCCUAAGAGAGGCAGCAGUAGGGAAUCUUCCGCAAUAGGCGAAAGCCUGACGGAGCGACGCCGCGUGAGUGAUGAAGGUCUUCGGAUCGUAAAACUCUGUUAUUAGGGAAGAACAUAUGUGUAAGUAACUGUGCACAUCUUGACGGUACCUAAUCAGAAAGCCACGGCUAACUACGUG